GAUGAACGCUGGCGGCGUGCUUAACACAUGCAAGUCGAACGAAGCACUUUAAUCGAUUUCUUCGGAUUGAAAUUUUAGUGACUGAGUGGCGGACGGGUGAGUAACGCGUGGGUAAUCUGCCUCACACAGGGGGAUAACAGUUGGAAACGGCUGCUAAUACCGCAUAAGCGCACAGUACCGCAUGGUACGGUGUGAAAAACUCCGGUGGUGGGAGAGGGACCCGCGUCUGAUUAGCUAGUUGGCAGGGCAGCGGCCUACCAAGGCGACGAUCAGUAGCCGACCUGAGAGGGUGACCGGCCACAUUGGGACUGAGACACGGCCCAAACUCCUACGGGAGGCAGCAGUGGGGAAUAUUGCACAAUGGGGGAAACCCUGAUGCAGCGACGCCGCGUGAGCGAAGAAGUAUUUCGGUAUGUAAAGCUCUAUCAGCAGGGAAGAAGAAAUGACGGUACCUGACUAAGAAGCACCGGCUAAAUACGUGCCAGCCGCCGCGGUAA
rnacentral:rRNA from 1 species